rnacentral:rRNA from 1 species
UACGUAGGGGGCAAGCGUUGUCCGGAUUUAUUGGGCGUAAAGAGCGUGUAGGCGGCCUGACAGGUCUGCUGUGAAAACUCGAGGCUCAACCUCGAGAUGUCGGCGGAAACCGUCUGGCUAGAGUCCGGAAGAGGAGAGUGGAAUUCCUGGUGUAGCGGUGAAAUGCGCAGAUAUCAGGAAGAACACCUAUGGCGAAGGCAGCUCGCUGGGACGUGACUGACGAUGAGACGCGAAAGCGUGGGGAGCAAACAGG